UACGUAGGUGGCAAGCGUUGUCCGGAUUUACUGGGCGUAAAGAGCGCGCAGGCGGUCGUUCAAGUCGCGUGUGAAAGCCCCCGGCUCAACUGGGGAGGGUCACGCGAUACUGAUCGACUCGAAGGCAGGAGAGGGUAGUGGAAUUCCCGGUGUAGUGGUGAAAUGCGUAGAUAUCAGGAGGAACACCGGUGGCGAAGGCGGUUCUCUGGGCAUUACCUGACGCUGAGGCACGAAGGUCAGGGGAGCAAACGGG
rnacentral:rRNA from 1 species